UGGCUCAGAACGAACGCUGGCGGCGCGUUUAAGCAUGCAAGUCGAACGGUAACUGUCCUUCGGGACAGCUAGAGUGGCGGACGGGUGAGUAACACGUAGGUGAUCUGCCCUUGAGUUGGGGAUAGCCCAUGGAAACAUGGGGUAAUACCGAAUACGCUCCGGAUGCUAUGGCAACUGGAGGAAAAGCGCUUCGGCGCUGCUCGAGGAUGAGCCUGCGGCUGAUUAGUUAGUUGGUGGGGUAACGGCCUACCAAGGCGACGAUCAGUAGCCGGCCUGAGAGGGUGAACGGCCACACUGGGACUGAGAUACGGCCCAGACUCCUACGGGAGGCAGCAGCUAAGAAUCUUCUGCAAUGGACGAAAGUCUGACAGAGCGACGCCGCGUGGGUGAAGAAGGCCGGAAGGUUGUAAAACCCUUUUCUAUUCGAGGAAUAAUCGCAGGAGGCAAUGCCUGCGAGAUGACGGUAGGGUAGGAAUAAGCCCCGGCCAAUUACGUGCCAGCAGCCGCGGUAACACGUAUGGGGCGAGCGUUGUUCGGAAUCAUUGGGCGUAAAGGGCGCGUAGGCGGAUAUGCAAGCUUGGUGUGAAAGACCGCAGCUCAACUGCGGGACCGCGCUGAGAACUGCAUGUCUAGAGUUCAAGAGGGGAAGCUGGAAUUCCAGGUGUAGGGGUGAAAUCUGUAGAGAUCUGGAAGAACAUCAGUGGCGAAGGCGAGCUUCUGGCUAUGAACUGACGCUGAGGCGCGAAAGCGUGGGGAGCAAACAGGAUUAGAUACCCUGGUAGUCCACGCUGUAGACGAUGUGCACUAGGUGUUGGGCCGCUGAAGGCUCAGUGCCGUAGCUAACGCGUUAAGUGCACCCGCCUGGGGAGUAUGCUCGCAAGAGUGAAACUC
rnacentral:rRNA from 1 species